UACGAAGGGGGCUAGCGUUGCUCGGAAUCACUGGGCGUAAAGGGUGCGUAGGCGGGUUUUAAGUCAGGGGUGAAAUCCUGGAGCUCAACUCCAGAACUGCCUCGAUACUGGAAGACUCGAGUCCGGGAGAGGUGAGUGGAACUGCGAGUGUAGAGGUGAAAUUCGUAGAUAUUCGCAAGAACACCAGUGGCGAAGGCGGCUCACUGGCCCGGUACUGACGCUGAGGUGCGAAAGCGUGGGGAGCAAACAGG
rnacentral:rRNA from 1 species